GAUGAACGCUGGCGGCGUGCCUAAUACAUGCAAGUCGAGCGGAAAGGCCUCUUCGGAGGUACUCGAGCGGCGGACGGCUGAGUAACACGUAGGAACAUACCCCAAAGUGAGGGAUAAGCACCGGAAACGGUGUCUAAUACCGCAUGUGCUCUAAGGAGUAAAGCUUCGGCGCUUUGGGAAUGGCCUGCGCAUGAUUAGCUUGUUGGUGAGGUAAUGGCUCACCAAGGCGACGAUCAUUAGCUGGUCUGAGAGGAUGAUCAGCCAGACUGGGACUGAGACACGGCCCAGACUCCUACGGGAGGCAGCAGUAGGGAAUUUUCCACAAUGGGCGAAAGCCUGAUGGAGCAACGCCGCGUGCAGGAUGAAUGCCUUAGGGUUGUAAACUGCUUUUAUAUGUGACGAAUAUGACGGUAGCAUAUGAAUAAGGAUCGGCUAACUCCGUGCCAGCCGCCGCAGUAA
rnacentral:rRNA from 1 species